CAGUCGCCACGGUAAUACGGAGGAUCCGAGCGUUAUCCGGAAUUAUUGGGUUUAAAGGGUGCGUAGGCGGAUAGAUAAGUCAGUGGUGAAAGACGGUGGCUCAACCAUCGCAGUGCCGUUGAUACUGUUUAUCUUGAAUAUGGAUGAGGUAGGCGGAAUGUGGCAAGUAGCGGUGAAAUGCAUAGAUAUGCCACAGAACACCGAUUGCGAAGGCAGCUUACCAAGGCAAAAUUGACGCUGAGGCACGAAAGCGUGGGGAUCGAACAGGAUUAGAUACCCCAGUAGUCCCUGUCUCUUAUAA
rnacentral:rRNA from 1 species